AUUGAACGCUGGCGUCAGGCUUAACACAUGCAAGUCGAGCGAGCGGCGGACGGGUGUGUAAUGUCUGGGAAACUGCCUGAUGGAGGGGAAUAACUUCUGGAAACGGUAGCUAUUACCGCAUACCAUCAGAUGGGCCCAGACGGGAUUAGCUUGUAGGUGGGGUAAGGGCUCACCUGGGCGACGAUCCCUAGCUGGGCUGAGAGGAUGACCAGCCACACUGGAACUGAGAAACGGUCAGGACUCCUACGGGAGGCAGCAGUGGGGAAUAUUGCACAAUGGGCGCAAGCCUGAUGAAGCCAUGCCGCGUGUGUGAAGAAGGCCUUCGGGUUGUAAAGCACUUUCAGCGAGGAGGCGUUAAUCGCAGAAGAAGCACCGGCUAACUCCGUGCCAGCCGCCGCGGUAAUAC
rnacentral:rRNA from 1 species